GACGAACGCUGGCGGCGCGCCUAACACAUGCAAGUCGAACGAGAGAUGAGGAGCUUGCUCUUCAGAUCGAGUGGCGAACGGGUGAGUAACGCGUGAGGAACCUGCCUCAAAGAGGGGGACAACAGUUGGAAACGACUGCUAAUACCGCAUAAGCCCACGGCUCGGCAUCGAGCAGGGGGAAAAGGAGCAAUCCGCUUUGAGAUGGCCUCGCGUCCGAUUAGCUAGUUGGUGAGGUAACAGCCCACCAAGGCGACGAUCGGUAGCCGGACUGAGAGGUUGAACGGCCACAUUGGGACUGAGACACGGCCCAGACUCCUACGGGAGGCAGCAGUGGGGAAUAUUGCACAAUGGGGGAAACCCUGAUGCAGCGACGCCGCGUGGAGGAAGAAGGUCUUCGGAUUGUAAACUCCUGUUGUUGAGGAAGAUAAUGACGGUACUCAACAAGGAAGUGACGGCUAACUACGUG
rnacentral:rRNA from 1 species